CAGAAAAAAAUGCCUAUCCUUGUCGAUAAAGUGAUGAUAAGAAAAUAAUACAAAACACCUUAAUGAAAAAGGAGGCAUAACAGGUUUUUAUUCCGGAAGCAGGAAAAUAGCCUUUAUUGCUAGGAGAUGCUAGCUGUAUUUCCAACUCUUUUGGUGCUAUUGCUCAUCAUCUGUAUCCGUCCUGAUUUCAGUUGCAAGUCACUGCCAACACCAUCCGUCCCCAAGUUUGGAAAUGCUUGAACAUGGAUAUUGAUUUGAAGGCAAAUCAGAAUGAGGCAUUUAAUCUGAUCUGGAGACAUUGUUUCAUCAUACUGCUUAGCCAUAACUGAUUGCUUGGAUCGAGCACCAAUACACUGCAUUCAUUUUCACAGUUGAUGUGGAGUGUGAAAGAGUCUCUACAUUUGUUCAGUUAUAAGACAAAACAUGAUGGAACCUAAAUUGAACUGAAAGCACAGGGUUUUAAUGCUGCAAUAUGGUCAAGACCAUAUGAAGAGCUUGGAGAAAUAACGAGGAACACCUCACAUGCUUGUGAAGAGAUUCCAGAUAUGAAACUAAAGGAAUGACAGACUCUUCUACGGUUAGAAUCCCUCCACCAAUGGAUAUGGCGGUCUUCACUUCAAGAAAUGCUAUAGGAGGUUCCUGAAACAGAAAAUAUUAACAGAUGAAAACUUGAAGCUAUACGGGGAAUAAAGAGAGACAAACAUGUGAGUAAGUGUAAAAGAGUUUUAUUUCCCCAUUUAAAAAAAUUUCU